AAAAAUAAAAAAAAAAAAAAAGGGAGGAGAGAGGAAAUUCACCCUCAAUGACUGUUUCCAUUCAGAAAAGCCAAGGUCUUUCCAAACAUUAAGGAGUUAAAAGCAAAUACAGAAGAAAAUGCUGGGCUGACAUUUUUUACCAAAGGACUUAUCCUGAAAAACUGAUCUUUUCAUUUGAUAUAAAAGAAUAGCCAAAGGACCAAAGGAAUAAAAAGCCAGAAGGAAUGAUGAAACUGCACGAAAGCAGGAGCUGGGCUGAAAGCACAUGGGUCCUCUAAUACAACAGAAGGACAAGAUGUUCAGAAGUUUAAUACUAACAAUCAACCUUCCCUGGCCCAACUGGCAAUGUCAAUAAAGUGGCGAUUUUCUCCUCUCCAGGGACAAAGUAUCUCACUUUAAGAAGUUUAGAAAAUACUAACAUAUUCAUUGAAAGUCACUCCUUUCAUCCAUUCAAUAUGUGCAUGUAAAAGUUUUGCAGUUGUUUAUAGUAUCCACCUCUUAAUGGCAGAGACAGCACAGUGUAUCAGUGUAUUUUCCUUUUUUCACAGCUUUCCAAUGGAUGCUGGGAAGUUUUGUUUAUUGACUUGUUGCAGUAUGUGAAGUGUAAACUGUUUUUCUCAUUAUUUAGAUGUAUGCAAAGCUUUCAUAUUCUUGGUACUGACAAGAUGUAACUGGCUAGCAGUCUUACUAAGUAACACAUUUACACCUUGGGGAAAUAUCUUUUCAUGGUAUAUCCUGGAAGUGCUAAUUGUCUUUUAUUUCCUAAUAACUGUUGAAACCAAUAGGUUUAGAAAAGCUGGUGAUUUCAAAGAACUGUAAAUUAGACACCAAGACAUCUUUCAGCGUGUCAAGUCUACAUGUGAAAAUCUUAAAAAAGUAAUUUUUAAGCUCUUGUCCUCUGAAAUGAAUUAAUGAAGUCAUCAAUAAGUCAAUCAUAACUGUCCUAAUGCAGGAUGUGAAAAAUCUAGUAACAUCAUAUGUGUAAUUACUACUACUUUAAGUCAUCAGGAAAGUAAUGCAAUUGCCUUUUCCUGCAUCAGCAGAAUGGCAGUAUGAAAAAAAAAAAUCUGUGCUGCAGCUAAGAAAUUUAGGACAUUUGACAUUAUGCCUUAGGAGCUGGACUUCAAAAAAAUGAUAUGACAGUCUCUUCCCUCAUCUUCCCAUACCACACAUUCACACUCUUUUUUAACACAUUGAGUGAUUAUGCAUAGAAGUAUAAAUUAAAAUAAUCACAAGUCCUGAAAAAGUAAGCAGAUGGACAGAAGAAAGGUACCUGGAUUUUCUUUAACUGCCUUUUUAAUUUCUUGUGGAGAUUCAAGAUUACAAUAGUAAGGACCAAUAAACCUCUCCUUGAACUAUACUGAAAAAAUCUUUGCUUUAUGUUGAAUAUAAUUUAUUCCUUAAAUGUAGUUUAAGGGCAUGGAAGAAUGUCUUUAGAAGAUAUAAGAUGAAAAGAAGAAAACUGAAUGGCCAAGUAGUCCAGAAGAAAAGGUGAAUUAAUAGGGUGUGCAAAAAAUUGGCAGCUAUGGGAUAAAACUAAGGAGGUGGCUUGAGAAAACAACCAAAAGGAAGAUACAAUCACAGCAAAACAACAACUGUCUGAAAGGCCCUUUCAUUUUCCCAGAGAACACAUAGUGCCUUGUAUAUCUCUCCAGCCUUAACCAUGGAGACCAAAAGGUGAAGAGAACCAAAUUAUCAGCGACACUGCAACUUUCCCCAGAAUGCGGUAAUCACACCGAAUCACACGGUUGUGACCCUCUUGUUGUGAGGAGUAUGGAAGAAGGAGAACACUGCCAAUUCCUUGCCUUCUUCCUGCAGCCAACUGUCUCUUUUUGACUUCUAGAGCGGUUCUGACUGGUUGGAAUCCAUUUCCAUCAUUCCUUUAUGUUUGCUUAUUUAUCUUAAUGUUUAUUCUCACCUUCAUUCCUCUUCUUAUACCUACAUGAGUACCACAGUGGUAAAAAAUCUAGGGUUUGUUUGAGGUUUUUUUUUGUUUCCUUGUUUGUUUUUUUUAAGAAAAUUAAUAACGAGUUAAAACAAAACAACAGGAAAAAAAAAGAGAACAGAAUAUUUCAGGAGGGAAAGAAUGUAAGAGUGAGACAUAAAAAACUUCUGAAAAACACAGGCAGAAACUCCUACCACAACUAACCACUUGCAAAGUAGGCAUGCUUAACAUUAUGAUGUUAAAUGUUUAUAGUUUCUUAGUAGUCAGUGGUUCAGCUCUUCUAACAUAACGCAUAGAAUCAUAUCCAAAUGACUUCACUGGAACUUGUGAAGAAACACUUUAAAGGAAAAUAUGACUUCAUUAAAUGAAAUAGUAAAAACAA